AAUCACAAGUGUUUCUCUUGUUGGGAAAUUUACAGAAAGAGUUAAUAACACACCCUCAUGUUAUUUUUCUCCGAUUUGAAAAGAAAGAAAGUGAGUCUAGCUCGACAAGAGGUUUCAUGUUUGUCGACUUUAAUCGAGAAGGGAAAGCAAUGAAGCUGAGGAUAGUCAGUUGCAAAGUGUGGUGUUUUGUCAGUCGUUGAAAAUUAUAUUUGAGAAGUUUGGUUUUAUCUCCACCCAUGUUUUCAGACAGAGACAAAGACUUGUGCAUACUGCCUUCGAUCGUUUUGGAUAUCUACAGAGGUUGAGCACCAAAAUUGGUGUUAUUGUUGGUGGUGUGUUCUGCAGAGAAGUAUUGGAUUGUUUUGAGUUUCUUAAAUCAACAAUCUCAGUUUUGUGUAUGAAUGAAAGUCUGUGAGAUGAGCUCUGUUUUCUCUAUUGAGAUUGAGACUUAGUUUUUUUCUUGGUGUGUACUUCAUUUCACUUGAAGUUGGUUUAAUUGUGGCUGGUUUACUUCUCUUGAAUCAAGAAAUUGCAAGUUUGACUGUUUGAUCAAGAAAGCGGAAGAAAAUCGCAGGUUGUGAUAUGGAAAAACAUUGGAACUUGGCAUCAGUAUUGGUUUAUUAGAGAAGGAGCUCUUGUUAGGUUGUGACUCGAGCGUUAGCAUAUGAAUCUUGUCACCAUUAUGAAGAUUCAAGGUUUGGUGCAUCUUUCUCUGUGUCUUAUGAUAAGCAUCCUUGGUUGGUUGUUGUUGUACGUGUCAUGCUUUUUUUAUACACGCAAACAAGAAGGGGGAGAAGAAGGUUAAGAAUGCUGAAACCAAUAGCUUCAUAGUUCUCUUAAUCGUCGGGCAGAGAUGAAGGAAGAUAGGAUGGUUGUUUCAUCAUGGGUUUCUUUGGGAUUUUUGGCCCAAUAUCUUGCUGAACUAAAUCAGGCCCAGAAGAAUUGGAAACGUGUUGGUUUGGGAUUUUUGAAAAGGCAGUGAUCUCAAUAGAAAGUUGCAGUUAGGCUUCUUUGGUGUUCUAGGGUGUAUCGAAUCCAAAAGUGAGAGAGAGAGAACUACAAUUUGUGAAUCUUGAUUUGAUUCACAGUUUGUUGAGUUUGUGUGUUACAUGUGGAAUUUUGGAGGAGCUAGGAGAUAAAUCUUCACAAUUUCAUCAUGAGGUUUAAGGAUUGCAUUGAUGGCAAAGGAGACAACUUGAGCCGGAAUAAAAUCUUGUAUUGGAUUCCAGAUUUGGUGAGAAGUUUUUGAAACAUGGAGAAAAGAUUGAUAGUCACCAUCAUGGAAGAAAAUGGCGAUUUUGUGAAAAAAUAGGAGAGAUGAAUCUCAUGGUAGAUUCAAAUCUAAAUGACAGAAAGGAGCUGGUGAAGAGUGAGGCUCUCAAUCUGUGUACACUGGUUUGACGAGAGGAAGUUUUUUUUGUGCUGUUUGAUCUGGGAAAUUUGGUCGAUGUCUUUUGUGGUUCUUGUUUUUCCUUGUUGGUUGAGCUGUUAUAGAAUCAACGAGAAGAAGUUUUUUGUUCAGUUGUUGGGACUCAUAAAUCAAUUAUUUUGGGGCUGUUCUUCAAAGUAUUUUCGAUAAUGAGAGUUCCAAGUGAUUAUGGUGUCUGAAUAUUCUUGGAAUGUUGGCUGGUUUUAGGAUCAAUAGAGCUUUGUCGCUGAAUUUGAAUUUGACAGUGGUUGAGAAAUUUUCUGCGGGUAUCGUGAAGUUAAUUUCAGGUUGCUAAGGACUGUUUUUCUUGGCUGUAGUUUGGCGCUAUAGUGUGAACCUGCAAUUUUGUGAAGAUGAUUUCAAAAGGAGCUUACAGUUGGUCUUGGAAUUAGAGAUAGGAGUGAGAUGCCUGUGAUAUUAUUUUCAGAGUCAAAAGUUGUGAGUGUUAUAAGCUUGAACGAAAUCAGUGUGUAAUGUGGCUGCAAAGAAGAGAGGCUGGAUUUCAAGAGAAAGAGAUUUUUGGUCUUGAUGCGACAAUAUCAAUGGUUCAUGCUGUAAAAAGAAGAAGAGAUGUUCAAAAUACAAGGUCUCAUGAUGUGGUUUAUGGCGCUUAUAGCUGUCGUUGGUAUUUGAGAAGAGAUCAGACGAGAGACUACAGUUUUUUUUGAUAUGGUUCUGUCUUCUGUUGGAUACUUUCUUCUUCGUUUUAUUUGGCUACAGACCUCAGAUUUUAGCUCUGAAAACUUGAAAACAAGAUCUUUCCAAGGAUAUAGAGAUAUUCUUCUGGUUCCUUGUGGUUUGAUGGGAAAUUUCUCUCAAAAUUGGAUGCUCGCAGGUCGUAUUAGUCUGGAUCUGUCUUGGGAAAUUUGACGUAGCUCUCAAACCGUAACUCCGAAUCGUGAUCCGUUUUUUGCUGUGGCUUCGUGUGACUGUUGUUGAUAUUCCCACCAAAUUUUGUAAUUUUCUGGGUUGGUUUGCUACUCCGUUUGUCCUCUGCAUCGAGACAGACGCAAAUGCUUCAGUCAAGAGUUCCCUGUUUUGGAAAAUUUUCAAUACAAGUCUUUGACAUCUGUGGAGUGAUGGACAGUGUUUAUAAAGGUUCGUCAAGAUGUGCUUUUGAUACGUUUAAUGGUUCUCAGAGUGUUGUUCCAAAGGUUUUUGUGAGGAAAGGUUUUAAAGCAAGUUUUACAAAGGCUCAAUGAGAUAUCAGGUUGCUGCAAGUUAAGAAAGGGAGAAAAAGGCAUGAGUUAAGGUCAGUCUGUCAAAGGGAUGAAAAUCAUGAUUAUAACAUUUUCGGAGAGGUUUUAAGUUUGAUUUUCCGCUGCAAAUUUUCAAGGUUGAUCGAUGAUCCAGUCUCUAUGGAAUGGCCUUAUACUUCUGUUGAUAUAAGAAGCUCAGUUUGUUGUGAUCAAGCAUUGUUAUGGAAGUUCUACUGCUGUGAAGGAUGGUGUUUGGUUUAGUGUCACUCUUGUAAACUCAAGGAGAGCUGUGGGUGACUGUGGUUACAAAAGGUUCCUAGAAAAGAAAGAAAUGUCUCUGAUUAUUGGAAGAAGAAAGAGAAGAGAGCACUCAAUUAUUGAAGUUCAGGAGAAGGAUUCAUUUUCACUAUUAGUAUAAGAUGGUCGGGAUCAAUCUGAGGUAGAAUACUCAGAGUUGUGGAACUCCGAUUCAGUUCUGCAAGGUUAGCUUAAGUGACAUCUGCAAGGAGAUGUUGGUCGGGAUCAAUCUGAGGUAGAAUACUCAGAGUUGAGUAACUCCGGUUAAGGUGUAACCCAGGAAGCUGAAGUGUCUUGUAGGUGAAAGUUGGGACAUCGCUUUUGAAAUUCAAGAAGUUGUUGUUGCUCUAGCACUUAAACUCUGAAGGAAUUUAUAUGAGAAUCUGUGUUUGUUGAAGCUGGAUGUACACAUACUACAAUGACAGCUGCUUCAGAUUUUGCAAUUGCCUGUUUCAUUCAUUGGCUUACUGUUUGACAUGAAAGGUGUUGUGUAAAGACUAUCACAAGGUAUGUUCAUCUGGUUUUUUAUCUAACGUUGUUCUCAACAGAAUUGUGAAUUUCUGGUUGGUCUUGGGUUGGUUUCAUUGGCUGUUUUGAGUAUUGAACCGAGCUAGAAGGGAGAGAUCAAAGAUAUUCCCAUAUGCUAGAUGUGAUUGUGAGAGCAGUUUAAUACAAGAGCUCUGUUGGUGAUUGUUCUAUGGCUUGGUUAUAGGAUGGUUUGAAGUUUUUGGAAAUUGUCUCUGCAUUUUGUUCUUAGAAUUGCUCUCACAUCCGAUGAGACUGUUCUGUGCGUACGGCAGGCUUAGAUCUUGUUCCUAUUGGCGACAGCGGUUUCUUGUUGAUUGUGAAGCAACUUCUUCUGAGAUUUGAAGGUGAUGCUGAUGUGAGCUGUAAGGUGAUGUUGUUGGUUUGACAGUGGUGUGUAUAGCUGCUAAGAGUUGUCUUAAUUUUUCUUGUUUACCAGCAUGCUGCUUAAGUCUUCUCUGAGGAUUCUGGUCGGAGUAUGUUUGCAAAAAGGUGGGAAAGUUCUAUGUAGUGUGAGGUUUUAUCUUAGUUGUGCACUCAAGCAGGGGGAGUGAAAGCCUUGGUGAUGAUAUGUAUUCUUUUAGAUAAAGCUAGCAGUGUGGUUUGAGGCGGAGCAAGAAUUUCUCUACAGCAUCUUGGAGUCGUGAUCGGUCUAUUGUCUUAUAAUUCCUGUAUGGGUUGCUUGAGUAUCAAACUAAUAUAAAAAGGGGGAGACUGAAGAUGGUAAAUCGGGUGAGCUACAACUCUGACUGAAGAUGGUAAAUCGUGUGAGCUACAACUCACCCAUCAAGGGGGAGAUUGUUGGUAUUUAUGUGAUGGUGCUGAGUUGUGUAGAUGUUGUCAGAUGUUGUGAUGCAACUGCAGUGACAGAAGAAACAAAGACUUUAUGUUAGAAUCAUCAUAUGCGGUGACAACUUAGAGAGAGAGUAUGAAGAAGUAUUAAAGCUUGAAGAUCAUCAAAGUGCAAAGUUACAAGGUGAGCUCGAGUUCUAAAACUCAGUAACAAAGGGGGAGAUUGAAGGCGUGGUUGUAACUGGUUGUUAGACUCGAGCUAUGUUGAUGCAGACGGCAACAGAGGAAGUGUGUGACACAAGAGUUGAUACAGAAUAUAACAGAUGAGUAUGUGUAAGAAAAACGUCUCUUGUGACACAAGAAACUAGUGUUGAAGAGUGGUUGCAGAGAGAAAAAGGCCAUGUGGGCUUCGAGCUCAUAAGAGAAGUGACAUGGGCCUUGUUAUCAAAGGGAAGCCCAAGCAUGAGGAGCGUAGGGUUCUUGAAGCACAUAAAUAGAACGCAACUGGGAAAAGAAAAGGUUGCGCCUCUAGGGUUUAUCGAGAGAGGCACACAUGUGUGUGACGUUGUCCCAUCAAGAAGAUAGAGAUCUUUUGAUGGUUUUGUUGAAGAUCUAUACUUGUCGGAAAAGACAAUGAGUAGUAGUUCUUCUUUCAUUGUAAUUCUAGAAAAGAGUGGUGGAUGCCAUAUAGCACUUGUAGGUUGCGGAUUUUUCUAGUGAAUGGUUUCUGGACUAGGUCCCGGGGAUGUAGGUUAACCGAACCCCGUUAACAAAUCCCUUAUGUCUAAUUUACUUUAUGCACGCACAUACACUCGUGAAUCAUACAAAACUAUGACUCUAGCACACAUACGUAUUUACAAGUAUUUCCAAGACUACACCAUCUUCAAAGUCUUGAAUCAGCCAUAUACAACACUAUUAUACAUACCCGUGUAUAUAUAUAUACACUAUACCCAAUUAUACAUACAUACCCGUGUAGAUAUACUAAUAUACAUACAGACACACGUUUUCUUUAUAUGGUAUAAACACUGCUUCUGCUUCUUUUCCAUUGCUCUGUGUUCCUCUGUUUAACACACUUCAAACGAUAUUGCAUGUUAUACAAAAUGUAUUUUUCGUUGGAUUUAUAAUUUCUUGCUGCCGACGCAAUCCGUUUUUCUUUUGUGAAUACUCGGAAAUACGUGUUUUCCAACUGUAUAGUCCAUGCUUUUUAGUUUUGUAACAGAAACUUGUUUUUUUCUCUUAGUUGGGCUACAACGUAUGAACGAACAUAGAGUUUAUUACGUAUCUCUCUAUCCAUUUUUUAAUAAAGUUUGCGAUCCACGCGGCUGGCACAAUUGUGUAUAUAUUCAUACACAGAAAUCAACUGAUCCCCAAAAAAGGGAAAAUUACUUUGGAAAUAACAUUCACUUUAAUUGUUAGUUUAGUAAUGAUUUACUUAUUUAGUGAACUAGUGUUACUAGCAUGACAAGACUUUCCUUUUUUUACCCCUCUAAAACUAAUUUAUUCUCUACGAAAAUUUUAGCCGUUUAUACAUUUAAUUAGUAGUAUCCGAUUUAGGAAA